AUUGAACGCUAGCGGGAUGCUUUACACAUGCAAGUCGAACGAGUGGCGGACGGGUUAGUAAUAUAUCGGAAAGUGCCCAGUGGAGGGGGAUAACUACUCGCAAGGGUGGCUAAUACCGCCUACUAUUGGAGCGGCCGAGAUCGGAUUAGCUAGUGUGUGGGGUAAAGGCUCACCAAGGCACCGAUCCUUAGCUGGUUUGAGAGGACGACCAGCCACACUGGAACUGAGACAAGGCCCAGACUCCUACGGGAGGCAGCAGUGGGUAAUUUUGGACAAUGGGGGAAAUCCUGAUGCAGCCAUCCCGCGUGUAUGAGAAGGCCUUCGGGUUGUAAAGUACUUUCGGCAGGGAAGCGGUAUCCGCAGAAUAAGCACCGGCUAACUCCGUGCCAGCCGCCGCGGUAAUUC
rnacentral:rRNA from 1 species